GGCGGCCUGGAUGGAUGGACUGGUGAGCCUUGCCCCAUCUCUGCACUAAUUCUGUUUCCCCUCUGUUCCCUCCUUUGGCCCGUCUGUGUGACUGAUUUCUUCCCUGAACCUAGGCCCCUUUCUGAGGACAAAGACCCCUGGUCCCAUCUCUCUUCUUAUUCUCCAAUCUUUUGAUUGGGAUCUAGUGUAUCCAUGGCAUCUUCAAGUCUCUCCACUCCAUGGAUUCUCUCCCACAACCAUUUACCUGGAUUCCCCUGCAAGGUCCCUCCAGCCUCACUCCACAGUACAGAGCACGCCACAUGCCGAGCCACCACGGAUUCUAUGCCUACAUCCCAGAGGGCUCCCCUGGUCUCCAGCCUCUGUCCCGGUGACCCCAUAAAAGAAUGUGUGGCCAGGAGUUCUGAAAUGGCCGACCGGAUCCUUAUUCCAUGUGACCCUGAUAAGCACCUGACCUCCUGAGGGUAAAGUUCUCUGUACAGGACUCCAGGAAGACAGAGCUGUGGGAAACUUCAUGGAAUUCUGCUGCCAGAGUCAGGGAAGCUUUGUGAUGUGUGAAGCCCUUGCUGAACACAGUGAGAUUUCAUCAGUGAUGGCAGAGAGGCAAGAAUCAAGACUCAGAGAAAUCAACUGACUCCUACAAGAUCACACAGCACAGCAGGUCCUCCAAAUCCUAGCCCACAGUAGCACUGCUUCCAAGGAGCUUUUCUUGUUUUAGACAAAUGCUCAAGAUCUGAUAUACACUGAAAAAGGGACAGAAUCAGGUACUCAACACAAUCCCA